AGUCAUGUGACCACCGACGAUAUCUACGAUAGUACUAAAUUGCCAGGAUGAAAUAAUUCUCUUUUGUGCCCGGCUUCCUCACUCACCUUCAUAGGCAUAUCAGACCAGCAAUAAACAACAAACAUGGCACAGGCUUGCCACCAAUGGUAGAUGGUGAAGAUGAAGUCCUGCCGUUCUUUGUCUUCAUAAAGCAUCCCCAGAAGUGCUACAGGAAAAGAGUGGUACAUCAUCAGAAUUGUCUCAUCAUAAUGCAAGAUGAGCUGCAUCUGAAGCAGGCCUGUGGAAGACAACAUGGAAACUCAAGGAUUAAUCCUUUUUGCCCUUGGUCUAUCAUUCAGCUGCUAUAGAAGGCUUCCAUCUUCAGCCCUGUGUUCCUCCAUUGCAGUAAACCACAAAUUAUGGUUUACAAAUCACAAAGACUGAGUUUUCACAACAUCCAAUCCCAUACCAAGCAAGCCAAGUUAUGUUUCUGCAUGAUGUACGAACUGAACUACACCGUGUGCACAAUUAUUAGGCAAGUGAGUAUUUUGCCCAUAUCAUCCUUUGUAUGCAUAUUUUCCACCUCCAAGCUGUGUAAACUUAAAUGCUUAGUGGAUAUAAGAUCGGGUGAUGUGUAUAGUGUAUAAUGUACAGUGUACAGUGAUGCUCAGAAAAAAACAAAAAAUAAACUUUGUU